CAUUAUCUUCAGACAUAAUCACAGUUUUUCAAUUCAUGACAUCGUCCUAAACAUGCAUGAAAUAUUUGCCACUGGACAUUAAGCAACCAAUAAUCAAUAAAUCAAUCAAUUCAUGACGAAAUAGAUCACCUUCCUUAAGAAUGUUUAAAAACUGAUUAUCACCAAGUUGCUUUAAUUUUCCUUCACAAGGUUUCAUAGUACACACUUUUCUGUGUACAAAGUAAUUGCAUGGAUGAUACAUUAUCAUAAUUUUAAGAUAUCGUUGUACUCUAAUCAAGGUAUAAAGAACCAUAUGUAUUACCCUUUAUUUAAAUGAUAAAAUUUGCAAUUGUCAAAAACAUUUUUUAGAUCCAAAGAUUUUAAUAGCAGGAUAUUUAAAAAUCAACAUGAAAACUAAUUACAAACUAUUUAAUUUAAUUUGGAACACAGCAUUUUAUUUCAAAAUAGCCAGUGGCAAUUUUUGUUUUAAAUAUCUUGAUUACGAUACAAUGAAAUCUUACCCUUGUGGUCAUUCAUGCGUAGUUACUUAGUACACAGGAAAAGUAUGUACUAUGAAAAUUAGAAGGCAAAUAUAAGCAAUUUGAUUGGACGAGAAGUUGUAAGUAUGUGCUAAUCGAUGAACAGUAAGUAUUUACACUGUAUUUCAAAAUGUUGAGACAAAAAUAUUUGCCGAUUUUGAUUUUUAUGUGGAUAUAUCACUCAUGCAAAUGUCAGGACUUAGAGACGUUUGUUGCCCCGAUAGUGGACAACAAUGGGGCGCCACUGGUUGCAAUUGUAAAUACAACUAACAUUAGUUCACAUAUUGUCCGAUCAAUAGAAAUGCCAUUACGGGAGAUAAUCAACUCAACAAUAGAAUGCAAAAUAAACGAAAAGUUAAAAGAAGACAUAAAGUGUCGCGUCAAAAAUUGGGGGAAGUAAACAAUCAGCUUGAUAACUUACAACAAAAAAUGGACAAACAUAUUGGAGAUAACCGGAACCAAUUGACUGAAGUUAACCUGGACAUUGCUACAUUACGGAAAGAAAUGGAAAUAUUAAAAAAUUUGGCAAAAACUGUCAGUUCUGAGAACAAAGAUAUAGCUGAAAAGCUGGAAGGUUUAAAUGCAACAGUGAAUUCAAGAGUUGACAGAGUUGCAUUCUUGGCAUAUGCCAAAAGUUCGCCGUCAGUUGGUUAUGUUAUUAAAUUCGAUGACGUAGAAACGAACAUAGGGAAGCACUAUAGUCCUUUAACUGGAGUUUUUACAGCACCACAGAAUGGACUUUACAGUUUGGGAUGUAUGAUCAUGUCUUACGGAAAUCACUACGUAAACUAUAUAUGGUUCAAGAAUGAUGCUACUUUCUCAUAUGGGUAUGCAGCUAAAACAUAUCAUGCAAAUUCGCAGACACAAAAUAUCGUCUUAUAUUUGAAAAAGGGAGAUCGACUGUACAUCAAACUAACAGCUGGAGGGAAAAUACACAAUGGUCGUUACUCCUACAUUACUGGAUAUCUUUUAUAAUUACAAAUAAAGCUAUUUUCAUCAUC